CCUACGGGUGGCUGCAGUGAGGAAUAUUGGUCAAUGGCCGGAAGGCUGAACCAGCCAUGCCGCGUGAAGGUCAGUGCCCUAUGGGCGUUAAACUUCUUUUGUGCGGGAGCAAUAAUGGUCACGUGUGGCCAGACGAGAGUACCGUACGAAUAAGCAUCGGCUAACUCCGUGCCAGCAGCCGCGGUAAUACCGGGGGUGCAAGCGUUUUCCGGAUUUAUUGGGUUUAAAGGGGGCGGAGGCUGGGAGGUAAGCUAGCGGGGAAAAGCCCCCGCUCAACGGGGUGAAGUGCCAUUGAUACUGCCUGGCUGGAAUGCGGAUGCCGUGGGAGGAAUGUGUGGUGUAGCGGUGAAAUGCAUAGAUAUCACACAGAACACCGAUUGCGAAGGCAUCUCACGAAUCCGCGAUUGACGCUGAUGCACGAAAGCGUGGGUAUCAAACAGGAUUAGAUACCCCAGUAGUC
rnacentral:rRNA from 1 species